rnacentral:rRNA from 1 species
AACGAACGCUGGCGGCAUGCCUAACACAUGCAAGUCGAACGAGACCUUCGGGUCUAGUGGCGCACGGGUGCGUAACGCGUGGGAACCUGCCCUUAGGUUCGGAAUAACUCCCCGAAAGGGGUGCUAAUACCGGAUAAUGUCUUCCGACCAAAGAUUUAUCGCCUUUGGAUGGGCCCGCGUGGGAUUAGCUAGUUGGUAGGGUAAAAGCCUACCAAGGCGACGAUCCAUAGCUGGUCUGAGAGGAUGAUCAGCCACACUGGGACUGAGACACGGCCCAGACUCCUACAGGAGGCAGCAGUGGGGAAUAUUGGACAAUGGGCGAAAGCCUGAUCCAGCAAUGCCGCGUGAGUGAUGAAGGCCUUAGGGUUGUAAAGCUAUUUUACCCGGGAUGAUAAUGACAGUACCGGGAGAAUAAGCUCCGGCUAACUCCGUG